UUUACAAAUCUCCUCCUCCUCCUUAUAAGUACCCUUCUCCUCCACCUCCACCGUAUAAAUAUCCAUCUCCACCACCACCAGUUUAUAAGUACAAAUCACCUCCUCCACCAGUGUAUAAAUACAAAUCUCCUCCACCUCCACCUAAAAAGCCAUAUAAGUAUCCAUCUCCACCUCCCCCUGUUUAUAAAUACAAAUCUCCACCACCACCAGUUUACAAGUACAAAUCACCUCCUCCACCAGUGUAUAAGUACAAAUCUCCUCCACCUCCACCUAAAAAGCCAUAUAAGUAUCCAUCUCCACCUCCCCCCGUUUACAAAUACAAAUCUCCACCACCACCGGUGUACAAAUCUCCACCUCCUCCCGUUUACAAAUACAAGUCACCACCACCCCCAGUGUACAAAUACAAAUCUCCACCUCCCCCCGUUUACAAAUACAAGUCACCACCACCCCCAGUGUACAAGUACAAAUCUCCACCACCACCAGUGUAUAAAUCUCCACCACCACCCUACAAGCAUAUAUCUCCACCACCAACGCCCAAGAAACCAUACAAGUACCCAUCACCACCACCACCAGUUUAUAAAUACAAAUCUCCACCACCACCAUACAAGUACCCAUCCCCACCACCACCUCCGUACAAAUAUCCAUCACCACCAC
rnacentral:lncRNA from 1 species